rnacentral:rRNA from 1 species
UACAGAGGUCCCAAGCGUUGUUCGGAUUCAUUGGGCGUAAAGAGCUCGUAGGCGGUUCGGCAAGUCGGGUGUGAAAUUUCGAGGCUCAACCUCGAAACGCCACUCGAUACUGCUGUGACUGGAGUCCGGUAGAGGAGUGCGGAAUUCCUGGUGUAGCGGUGAAAUGCGCAGAUAUCAGGAGGAACACCAACGGCGAAGGCAGCACUCUGGGCCGGUACUGACGCUGAGGAGCGAAAGCGUGGGGAGCAAACAGG